AUUGAACGCUGGCGGCAGGCCUAACACAUGCAAGUCGAGCGAGCGGCGGACGGGUGAGUAAUGUAUGGGGACUGCCCGAUAGAGGGGGAUAACUACUGGAACCGGUGGCUAAUACCGCAUACUAUCGGAUCACCCCGAUGGGAUUAGCUAGUAGGUGGGGUAAAGGCUCACCUAGGCGACGAUGUCUAGCUGGUCUGAGAGGAUUAUCGGCCACACUGGAACUGAGACACGGCCCAGAUUCCUACGGAGGCAGCAGUGGGGAAUAUUGCACAAUGGGCGCAAGCCUGAUGCAGCCAUGCCGCGUGUAUGAAGAAGGCCUUAGGUUUGUAAAGUACUUUCAGCGGGGAGGCGUUACCCUCAGAAGAAGCACCGGCUAACUCCGUGCCAGCAGCCGCGGUAAUUC
rnacentral:rRNA from 1 species